GUGCUGUCUGUGUUGGCCAUGAACUACCUCCUCUUGAGCAACACGGAACUCCAAGUUCUGUUACAGACUGUCCAAGAAUGAACUUGUCACUAGAUCUGUGUCUGAGGGAUGCCACCCAGAUCAUAUGGACAGUGCAGCCAGAGGAGGUGCCUGAGACAAACCCCUGUGCAGACAAGGAUGUGCAGUCAACAGGGUGCCACAACCUUUGCUCUCUCCAUUCCCAGCUACCCCCAACCCAACCCCAGCACCUCCUUGCCUGCUACCUAAGCUGGAAGCCAGCAGCUAGCUGUGUGACCUUAGGAAGCUCACACGCCCUCUCUGAGCAUCUCUACUUGCCCACUGCAGCGCUGUGGUGUGACGAAAGAGUUGGCCCAAGCACAGCUGAACCGGGACCAGGCCUGUGGGAAGGAAUGUAAAACCUGUUACCCACCCAGAAAGCUGUGAGCGGACAUGCUAUCCAGGCUGGUGACCUUUGCUCUGUCUGUGUGGCAAGAUUCUGGCCCUGGAUCAUCCCCUAGGCCCUUAUGGUAAGUGUGCUUUUCAACCUGUCUUUAUGGAUUUUACACAGAGAUGGCUUGCUUUAUUUGCUUGUUGCUUUUGUUUCUUUUGUUUUUGUUUUGUUUUUUGAAACAGGGACUUGUUACAGUUGCCAAUUAACCUCUCAAGUAAACCAACAGUAGCAGCAGCAGCAGCAGCAGCAGCAGCAGCAGCAGCAAGUUCCUCACUCCCUGCCCCAAAGGUCUGAGUUCCCGAAUGAAAGACACACACACACACACACACACACACACACACACACACACACGGCCUUAGAUUUUAAUAUGCCUUAAACAGCUCAAUGGUUAGACCACUUCAGAAUGUCCAUGUGGCUAGCACCUCCCCUUUGAUACUCCUAUAUUCUGUCUUUGCUGCCCUAGACCCAAACAGAGCCCCUGGGGCCGCUCUUCCCCCUGGGGCCGCCCUUCCCAGACUCUUACAUGAUCUGUGUACUCUGAUCUUCUGCACCUCUCCAGCCUGAAUCUUCUUUCCCAUUGUAGUGGUUCUCCCUCCUUCCUCUCUCGGUCCCUUUGCCCUAAAGUCCCACCUCUGUCUUCCUGCCUAGCCUUGGCCACCGGCAACUUUAUUUACCAAUCAAAGCCAACUGGGGGCAAGGACCCUCAGUGAGCGCUUUGCAUGCAGAUUCUGGUGCAGUUUUGGGAAUCCAAAUAACAUGAUACAAGCGGUAGACCAAAUCCUCAACAGAUCUCACUACAUAGCUCUAGCUGUCCUGGAACUCACUCUGUAGACCAGGCUGGCUUCAAACUCACAGAAAUCUG